AUGGGCCCCUCGCUGUCGCCUCGACGGCUGGGCCCCCUCCGCAACCGCCGGCCACCAGCAGCAGCCCCAGAGCCAAUGGUGACUUCCAGGCUGCGGCAUUGCUCAACACCGGCGGCCUCGACGCCUAGCCCCAGCAAGCAUCUCUCUCUCACACACACACACACCCGUUCUUCUUCUAUGCUGUGCCAGCACGUACCACGGUGGCCAUCCAUUGCCCAGGCCUGUCCAUGCAUUGAAGAUUUGUGUGUAUGUGACUAUAAGGUGCUUGAUGAAAACCCAAGCAGGGUAGGAAAAGAUUUAUUUCUGUUUAUGCUCUUUUGUGUAAUCAAUAUUUCUUUUUCUUCUGCUGGGUGGUUGGGAGUUUGUUUUGGGAUGUUUCAUUGA
rnacentral:rRNA from 1 species